UACGGAGGAUUCGAGCGUUAUCCGGAUUUAUUGGGUUUAAAGGGUGCGUAGGCGGUUGUUUAAGUUAGUCGUUAAAUCGGGAGGCUCAACCUUCUUAGGGCGAUUAAUACUGAAUGACUAGAGAACGGUUGCUGUGGGCGGAAUGUGUAGUGUAGCGGUGAAAUGCUUAGAUAUUACACAGAACACCAAUUGCGAAGGCAGCUCACAAAGCCGUUUCUGACGCUGAGGCACGAAAGCGUGGGGAUCAAACAGG
rnacentral:rRNA from 1 species